GCUAGCAGCCAUAUCACUGUUCAUCGUGCAAACCCACUGAAGCUCAGCAGGUAUGAGCCUGGCCAGUCCCUGGAUGGGAGACCACCUGGGAAAAACUAAGGUAGCUGCUGGAA
rnacentral:rRNA from 1 species